rnacentral:lncRNA from 1 species
GAAGUCUUUCUUGAGAAUGCUCCGGGCACCUGGCUGUAGAAGGAAGAAUAGAAAUUGCGAUAACAAAAUCCUAAAUAGAAUACUAACAAUGCUCUAAUUAGACUAUAAUAAUGGUAAACAAACGUAACCCAAUUCAAAAUAACUCAAAGAAAUUUCAAACAAAUAAUAAAAUUCUUAAAGAAAUAUUAGAAUGAUCACAAAUUUUACUCAAAUAUAUGUCAAUUCAACCUUAAUUUAAUUCUAGUUAAAACCCUAUUGAAUUUCACUCAAUUUUAGACCAAACCUAAUUAAAUCUUAAACCCUAAUAAUUCCUAAAUCCUAAGUCAAAUCCUAAACAAAUCUUAAAUUAAAUCCUAUUCCAAACCCUAAAACCUAAACCAAACCCUAUUCCAAUUCUAAAUUCUAAACCAAACCUUAAAUCAAAUCCUAACCAAACCCUAAUCCAAACCCUAACCAAAUCCUAAACCCUAAUCCAAAUCUUGGUAAUUCCUAUGACAGAUUUAAACCUCAAUAUCUAAUGAAAAAACCGUUGAUCUCAAUUCAAAAUUUGCACACUUCUUAAAAAUCAAGUUCAAAACAAGAAAACAAAUUUUGAAAAGGAUCGAAG